CCAUCACCCACAACCCGUGCAGCACUGUCUUCUGAACAGGCAGUACUUCUGUGACUCAGUGUCUUGGCUGACUUUGUUUUCUCUGGUCUUGAAGGCCCCGCCCCACCCACCUUGACAUCCACUCAAGUUUCCGUCUGGCCUGGAUGCCACCUGGUCUCCACAGCCUCUGAAGGCCCUCCAUCACAUCCCCAGGACACAGGACCUCUUGUUUCUUCUGCCAGCAUUGCUUGGUUCUCCCUCUGGGGUUAGUGAUCUGUCUCUUUGUUCUCAUGAAAAGUAGGCAUUAUUCCCCUCUGAAUAUAGAGGGACCAUGUGUUAUUUUUUAUACGUAGUACUUGUUUUCCUGUGUAUGGUACAUAGCCUGAGGCCAAUGAAUUCCUUCAGUCAGAGUGUAUAGGUAAAGCUUUUAAAAGUUGUUUUUAAUCAC
rnacentral:lncRNA from 1 species